AUAUAUAUUUAUAUAUCUUCCUCUUAUUGCAGUUUCCUCUUCUUUAAUUACUAUACGAGAUAAGUUGGGCUGAUUCAAGAAUCUAAAAAGUUGCUGGCUUUCACCUUUUGAGUUUUUGGCAACAAGGAUUUGGAAAACUGAUCUUUUCCAAAUUAAGUGAGGAAGCCACUAAUUAAGAUCAGGGAGAAGAAGGGAAGGAAUGAUGAUGGAGUUUUUUCUGCUGGGUUGCACGGCAGUGGUGGUGUUGCUUCAUGGAGUUAACUUCUUCUUCCACGCUCUCUCUUCUCACCUUGCCUUUCGUUCCCUCAGUUUCUUGGGAGUGGUUAGCUGGUAAGAAAACUUGUAAAAUACACACAUUGGAGGCAGGAGGAUGCUUCGGAAUAGAGCACUCCACAGCACCAUGAAUUCAUCAAUGAUGGAGGGAUCAUGAACCCCUGACCAGAAAACUUGUCAAAUACACGAGUUUGAUAGAUAAGUGCCUUACUUUUAAGUAGGCCAGUAAUGUAUUCUGAUCAUAUAGUUCAGUCUUUAGACUCAUCCUGGAUGUUGUUUCUUUUGCUUUUUUACUCAGAUUGAAACCAUAGCAAAAGUACUUCUAACUCUGUUAAGCGGAGGUUAAUUUGUAAAGAUUGUUUAAUCUCUCG